rnacentral:rRNA from 1 species
UGGGGAAUUUUGGACAAUGGGCGAAAGCCUGAUCCAGCAAUGCCGCGUGUGUGAAGAAGGCCUUCGGGUUGUAAAGCACUUUUGUCCGGAAAGAAAUCCUUGGCUCUAAUACAGUCGGGGGAUGACGGUACCGGAAGAAUAAGCACCGGCUAACUACGUGCCAGCAGCCGCGGUAAUACGUAGGGUGCAAGCGUUAAUCGGAAUUACUGGGCGUAAAGCGUGCGCAGGCGGUUUGCUAAGACCGAUGUGAAAUCCCCGGGCUCAACCUGGGAACUGCAUUGGUGACUGGCAGGCUAGAGUAUGGCAGAGGGGGGUAGAAUUCCACGUGUAGCAGUGAAAUGCGUAGAGAUGUGGAGGAAUACCGAUGGCGAAGGCAGCCCCCUGGGCCAAUACUGACGCUCAUGCACGAAAGCGUGGGGAGCAAACAGGAUUAGAUACCCUGGUAGUCCACGCCCUAAACGAUGUCAACUAGUUGUUGGGGACUUCAUUUCCUUAGUAACGUAGCUAACGCGUGAAGUUGACCGCCUGGGGAGUACGGUCGCAAGAUUAAAACUCAAAGGAAUUG